UACGUAGGUGGCAAGCGUUGUCCGGAAUUAUUGGGCGUAAAGGGCGCGCAGGCGGCGUCGUAAGUCGGUCUUAAAAGUGCGGGGCUUAACCCCGUGAGGGGACCGAAACUGCGAUGCUAGAGUAUCGGAGAGGAAAGCGGAAUUCCUAGUGUAGCGGUGAAAUGCGUAGAUAUUAGGAGGAACACCAGUGGCGAAAGCGGCUUUCUGGACGACAACUGACGCUGAGGCGCGAAAGCCAGGGGAGCAAACGGGAGGAGAGAAAAUAGUAGUAAGGAUGAAUGAAU
rnacentral:rRNA from 1 species